CUCGAAAGAGUGAACUAGCUAANCGAAAUCAAUUUAAAAUUGAUAACAUAAGGGAAAAUAAUGAUAUUACCUUAUUAUUAGUGUCGUCCAAAACUGGUGCCAGAAGACUCGGUAAGGCCAGAGACACAAACGUUAAUCGUCUUAAUCAGGCGUAAAGGGUUUGUAGGCGGCUUUUAAUUUUCUUAUAAAAUUUUUUAAAAUUAAAUAAGUUAAGAAUAAAAGCUAGAAUCAAAUAGAGGAUAUAUCAAAUAAUGCUUAGAGUAGGUCUGAUAUCCAUAGAUACUAAGUAGAAUAUUAAAGGCGAAAGCUUUUUUCCAUAAAUGAUUGACGCUCAGAAACGAAGGUGAGGAUAGGAAAUAGGAUUAGAUACCCAAAAUACCCCUCUCUGUCAACGAUGAAUGGUAAUUAUUAAUAAUAAAUUUAUUAUUAAUGAUAAUGUUAACACGAUAACCAUUCCGCCUUGUGAGUACAACUGCAAAGUUGAAAACAAAAAAAUUAGUCGGUUUCGGAGCAAACGAAGUGAAGCAUGUUAUUUAAUU
rnacentral:rRNA from 1 species